ACAGCUUCAUGGUUGAAUGAUUUGGGGUUCUCACAAUGACCGUCUGUUAUUACGUUACUCGGUAACCAGUAACAGCCGAGGUGAUUUUGUGCAAGUAAUGUGGGUGAGGGGUUUGCCAGAGGAGCAGUGUGCAGAUGGGGGCGCCAUGUGUUGGAAUGCAAAGAAAGUGUGUAGGAUGUAGUCGGUCAACCUUUGGGAUCGAGAUGGGGCACAAUCAGGCCGUUUGGUCGGUGGACGGGUUUGGGCCAGAACGUACUUGUCGUGAGGGAGUGAAGAGAUGUGGACGCUGACCGACGCCGGAGACUGGACGGGUAUCUAUUUGCUAGUACAGAUGAAAAGAAGAGGCAAAGUGCCCCACAAGUGGAAAUGUUGUUACUAAGACAGAAGACGUGGGGUGUGGCAAAUCCAUAUGAAGUUAUUGACAAUCCUCAGAAACUUCAAUUCAGUAGAUUGGAAAUCCCGUCCACAUAUUUUCAAGAAUAUCUAUAUGAGGACUGGUCAUGUAUAUAACCCUGACUACCCGGCAAGCUGCACAAGCUAUGAAGAAUAUGACUUGGGAAUAUAAUAAUUAUCUUUGGGAAUCAGAAAAAUACAUGUAUUUGUUUGAUAAAAAACUAACGUGAUAUAUCUUAAUACAGGGUUAGUUAAUGUGUAUUAAUUAAUUUACAUUACAGUAAAAAUAAAUAAAAAAAAAUAGUUUCGACUA